rnacentral:rRNA from 1 species
AGAGGGUGCGAGCGUUAAUCGGAAUUACUGGGCGUAAAGAGCACGUAGGUGGUUGAUCAAGUCAGAUGUGAAAGCCCUGGGCUUAACCCAGGAAUGUCAUUUGAAACGGGUCAACUAGAGUCAGCGAGAGGGGAGUGGAAUUUCCGGUGUAGCGGUGAAAUGCGUAGAUAUCGGAAGGAACACCAGUGGCGAAGGCGACUCCCUGGCGUAUGACUGACACUGAGGUGCGAAAGCGUGGGUAGCAAACAGGGAUUAGAUACCCUGGUAGUCCACGCUGUAAACGAUGAAAACCUAGCUGUUGGUACCGUCAGGUAUUAGUAGCGCAGCUAACGCGAUAAGUUUUCCGCCUGGGGAGUACGGCCGCAAGGCUA